rnacentral:lncRNA from 1 species
AGGACUUAGCACGAGAGCCACCGGGCUCUGGGCUGCGGAGGAGGUUGGAGGUGACCUUCCAGAAGGAACGUGGGACAAGGGAGCAAGUGAGGACCUGGUGGGUAGUGGUUACUCUGUGAGAAGCCAGCAGCACCAACCAAAUAGAAGGUGGAGAAGUGGCCCCCAGCUUCCCAGUUUGGGUUUGGGCCAAGACAACUAAGAAAAGGGUCCACCGUCUUCACUCCAGGUCAGCACAAGAAAGCUGCCAUGAUGGCUCCUGUGGAGAGACUCCCAUGCCUGCAGGUGGAAACCGAGGGGAUGAAGAUGAGAAGACCUCUACCCGGCACUGGUUUGGAAAACAGAGGACUGUCCCCUGAGCCUGCCAGCGAGUCACAUGUUUGGGUCCCUCAGCAGCCAGAGAAACGAUGAUACAGGACACUGGGGCAGGACAAAGGAGUGUGGCAGUAUUGUGGCCUCCAUGCAGAUGGUAGUGUGUGGCUCCAUUGUCUCUGCUGUGUGGAUGAGGAGCCUUAGCUCUGAGAAGAAGAGCCUUUCACAUCCUCACAACUUGUCCCAAUAGCACUGAACUCUUUUGAUCUGGAGAGAUCUGGAGGAGGGUCUUCAAGUGGGUUCUGACUCAUCCUCUACCAUACAGACAUAAGGCAGGCAGAAGGAGAGAUCAGAUGACCCUGCAUUGUAUCAAGUAGAAAAAUGUCUAACCAAGACAGAGGAGAAUACGAACCCUCUCAGCUCAUAGACAGGUGAUGAUGUGGUUUCCAACUGACUUUCAAGCAAACAGAUUUCCAAGCGUGCUUGAAGAGGGCAGUAAAUGAGAAGGCACAAGCUGCUAAAGGAAGUGAUCUGCUCUGCUGUAUGCCCGCCAUGGUGUCUUGCCUUCUACCAAUUCAGAACAAUGGGGCUGCUCACUAUCGACUGAAGUGUACAGAACUGUACCAAGUAGACUUUUCUUCUUGACGAGUUGAUUGUCUCUGGUAUUUUGCUAUAGCAAUGUGAAGCUGACUCGUUCACCUCCUAGAUAUGAACAAAAUGGCAAGAAAGGAAAAAAGCCUGGAUCGAAGUUAGAAUCUUGCUCAGGACACACAACAGCAAGGGAUUUCUAAACCUACUCAUGCCUAAGUUUUAGCUAAUACCCUUCUCUUCACAGAGGCAAAACAAAAACAAAAAAAGAACAGGUAACCUGAUUUCUCUUUGUUUCAGACUCUUACUCUGAAGGAGGACGAUCAGAACGGCAUAGCUGCCUUCUUGGCCUGUCACAGAAUUAAAUGGCAAAGGGUUCCGAGGACUAUCUAGCAUAUACUGCUGUCACUACAGGGGCGUGGUCUGUAAGAGGGAUAACCCAGCCCCCUAAUAAGGCAAGCAUGUCAUUUUCUGUGACAGAUGCAAGAAGAGAGAGGGGUUUGCUGGAAAUCGUGGCUGACCACCUCAGAAGGACCCAGAAGACCCGAACUUUCUGGUUUUGCCUUUCACCUUGCUCUGAAACUUCUCCCAACACUGGAAGACAAGAAAGUUCCGCCCUACCUCCGCCCCACCUCCGCCCCCCGGACCAGGGAGAUUCUUCUCUUUGGGCAAGCAGGCUUGCUGGGCAAUCGUGAGCUGCUGAGUUCCCAUCCCCAUAGAAAGCUGGACAUGGACAUGCAUGCCUGUUUCUGCAGCAUGCUCAACUCCAGGAGCUCUCUGGUCUCCUAUAAAUAAAGGAUAACACAUUCGGCCUUCUUACCAUUUCAAAAUGCAAAA